GGCGAACGCUGGCGGCGUGCCUAACACAUGCAAGUCGAGCGGAGACAAUUUUGAGCUUGCUUAGAAUUGUUUUAGCGGCGGACGGGUGAGUAACGCGUGAGCAACCUUUCUCUCAGUGGGGAAUAACACAGGGAAACUUGUACUAAUACCGCAUGAGACCACAAUGUCGCAUGGCAAAGGGGUCAAAGAUUAAUCGCUGAGAGGUGGGCUCGAGUCUGAUUAGAUAGUUGGUGGGGUAACGGCCUACCAAGUCGACGAUCAGUAGCCGACCUGAGAGGGUGAUCGGCCACAUUGGGACUGAGACACGGCCCAA
rnacentral:rRNA from 1 species